GAUCAUGGCUCAGGACGAACGCUGGCGGCGCGCUUAACACAUGCAAGUCGAACGAGAAUCUGUGGAUCGAGGAUUCGUCCAAGUGAAGCAGAGGACAGUGGCGGACGGGUGAGUAACGCGUGAGGAACCUGCCUUUCAGAGGGGGACAACAGUUGGAAACGACUGCUAAUACCGCAUGAUACGUAUUGGGGGCAUCCCUGAGACGUCAAAGAUUUAUCGCUGAAAGAUGG
rnacentral:rRNA from 1 species